AACGAAGUAGUCUAAACUUAAGACAUUGGAUUGUAAAUCCAAUAAUGAAUAUAAUUUCCUUCGUGA
rnacentral:tRNA from 1 species